rnacentral:rRNA from 1 species
AUUGUAGUCUGCAACUCGACUACAUGAAGCUGGAAUCGCUAGUAAUCGCGAAUCAGAAUGUCGCGGUGAAUACGUUCCCGGGUCUUGUACACACCGCCCGUCACACCAUGGGAGUCAGUAACGCCCGAAGUCAGUGACCCAACCGGAACCGGAGGGAGCUGCCGAAGGUGGGACCGAUAACUGGGGUGAAGUCGUAACAAGGUACC